CACUGAACUGUUUGGGUUCUUGUUGACUCAGGUGUUGUCAAUCAGCGUUCAUCAAGCCCACAGCAAACAAAACUGAAUGGUUGUGAGUUAAUGCUGCUACACAGUCACAUACAGUAGGUGGCAGCAUACACCUAGAAGUUGCUUGUGAUCCUCCAUAACAGAAAAGAAGAAGAAAAGGAAGAACGCGAAUGAUAAUUUGCUCAGUGUGAAGACGUCUUUCCUGAGUCCAAACCCCUGCAGGCUGCAGGCAACAUGAUGAAGAGACGUUCACUGAACUGUGACAGUGGCUAACACUCCAGAAGAGAGGUGGGUGUGUCUCAGUGAGGACAGAACGAGAGGCUGCAGAAAAAAGCAGACGACUGGACUCAGAGGAGACGACAAGAUGAGGAUGUCUGCUUCCCAGCUAUUUAGAACUGGAUUCUUGAAUGUUUCAG